rnacentral:rRNA from 1 species
GAUGAACGCUGGCGGCGUGCUUAACACAUGCAAGUCGAACGAGAAGUGAAGACGGAAACCUUCGGGCGGAAGGCUUUAUUUCGAGUGGCGGACGGGUGAGUAACGCGUGGGUAACCUGCCUCAUACAGGGGGAUAACAGUUGGAAACGACUGUUAAUACCGCAUAAGACCACAGCACCGCAUGGUGCGGGGGUGAAAACUCCGGUGGGAUGAGAUGGACCCGCGUUCGAUUAGCCAGUUGGCGGGGUCACGGCCCACCAAAGCGACGAUCGAUAGCCGAUCAGGGAGGAUGACCGGCCACAUUGGGACUGAGACACGGCCCAAACUCCUACGGGAGGGAGCAGUGGGGAAUAUUGCACAAUGGGGGAAACCCUGAUGCAGCGACGACGCGUGAGUGAAGAAGUAUUUCGGUAUGUAAAGCACUAUCAGCAGGGAAGAAAAUGACGGUACCUGAGUAAGAAGCCCCGGCUAACUACGUG